rnacentral:rRNA from 1 species
UACGUAGGGGGCAAGCGUUGUCCGGAAUCAUUGGGCGUAAAGAGCGUGUAGGCGGCCCGAUAAGUCCGCUGUGAAAGUCCAGGGCUCAACCCUGGGAUGCCGGUGGAUACUGUCGGGCUCGAGUCCGGAAGAGGAGUGUGGAAUUCCUGGUGUAGCGGUGAAAUGCGCAGAUAUCAGGAGGAACACCGAUUGCGAAGGCAGCUCGCUGGGACGUUACUGACGCUGAGACGCGAAAGCGUGGGGAGCAAACAGG